rnacentral:sRNA from 1 species
UAAUCUCGUCAUAAUGGUAUUUUACAUGU